rnacentral:rRNA from 1 species
CAUAGCGACUAUCGUGGCAUAUCAAUAAGCGGAGGAAAAGAAACUAACAAGGAUUCCCCUAGUAACGGCGAGUGAAGCGGGAAGAGCUCAAAUUUGAAAUCUUAAAGGGUUUCCCUUUACGAAUUGUAGUUUAAAGAAGUGUUUUCUGUUGGAGUUUCGGUAAAAGUUCUUUGGAAUAGGACAUCAUAGAGGGUGAGAAUCCCGUAUUUGAUCGUUACUUUCCAGCUGUGUGAUACACUUUCAAAGAGUCGGAUUGUUUGGGAAUGCAGUCCAAAAUGGGUGGUAAAUUUCAUCUAAAGCUAAAUAUUGGCGAGAGACCGAUAGCGAACAAGUACCGUGAGGGAAAGAUGAAAAGAACUUUGAAAAGAGAGUUAAACAGUACGUGAAAUUGUCAAAAGGGAAGCGUUUGACACCAGUGUUGUUUAGUUGAAAAUCAAUUCAAUAAUUUUUGAUUUUGAAGUAGUAUUGACUUCAUCAGCUUGCUGCUUUCUUUUCCGGAAUUAUUGAAUGCACUUUUCAGUUAACAAGUCAACAUCCAAUUUCUUUUGUUGUAAAAGGGUAAGAGGAAGGUGGCUUACGCUUCGGCGUAAGUGUUUAGAGCCUUUUACCUCUGCAAUCGGAGAGAUUGAGGACAGCAGCGUAGACUCCUUCGGGGUUAGAUACACUUGUGCUAAGCUAUAGCCUUGUAUAGACAACUUGUUGACUAUGCUCAGUCAUGUAGCUUACUCGCUUGUGCUAUUUUACCUACGCUUAGGAUGUUGAUAGUCACAGCGUGUAC